UACGUAGGGAGCAAGCGUUGUCCGGAUUCACUGGGUGUAAAGGGUGCGCAGGCGGAUCGGUAAGUCAGAGGUGAAAUCUCACAGCUCAACUGUGAAACUGCCUUUGAUACUGCUGAUCUUGAGUUAGGGAGAGGUUGAUGGAAUUCCAGGUGUAGCGGUGAAAUGCGUAGAUAUCUGGAAGAACACCAGUGGCGAAGGCGGUAACUGGCCCUAAACUGACGCUCAUGCACGAAAGCGUGGGGAUCAAACAGG
rnacentral:rRNA from 1 species